UCCCGGAAAAAUUGAGAGAAUUCUGAAGAAUGUGAUUUUCACACGUGCUAAAGAAGAAGCUAUAAGUUCCGACGUUCGAGGAGUAGACUUGCGGAUUGGAACUAGAAGGAAGGAGUAGGAAACGGCGUGGCGUCGACGAGAAGGUCCUACGUCGAAGAAGCUUCGAGAGAGGCGUCCAUAGCUCCUUUGUUCUCAACAUUUUCUUUCUGGGUUUUUGGAGCGACGGCGGCUUUCCGAGUAUCCUGUAGACUAUGAAACGGUACGCUUUGGAAUCGCACCAAAACUAAAC
rnacentral:misc_RNA from 1 species